GGUUGGAACUGGUCUUGGGGCACUGGGUCCAUCCAUACCUAAUGACUACUGAUGUUUCUUAAGCUGUAUUCAGAUACUGUCUGAGUGGAAGGGUGUUGACAACAGAUGGUACUGGAAAAAGCUACACAUCUGCAUAGAAACUGUAUGUUGUUGAAUGUAUGAUAAGUCUGUACACCAAUAGACAGUUUAAACCAUUUUUUCUCUCUCAGAGCCCCAAAUUAAACAGACCACACUUUCAAUGUUUCACUCAUAUAAAACUGUUGGAGAAUAUUAACCUUAAAAAAAGCUAAAAAAAAAUAAAAGAUAGUGUAAAACCUAAGGUAAGGUGAUAAAGGUACAUAUUUUUUAUUGACUUGAGUUGUGUCUGCAACUUUUACCCAGAAACGCUUCACUAAACAUGUGCAGGUGGGCCAGACUUGUUGCAUAAAACGUAUUUCAGAAAAAUGCAAUGUCUAAAUUUUAGCUGCUGAAGCUAAGCCAUAACUAGACUUUUAAAACUUCUAAAUCAACCUGUUGGAAUAAACUCUCAGGGUCAUUUUUACAGCCAUGUCUUUUAGGCUGCAGGCGUUAGAAGAGAGGUAACUUUACUCUACAGGCCUCCACACAAUAGUGCAGUGGUGAAAAAGCCUCUGUCAGGCAGUGUUUUACUGCUGUUGCUACAGCUGAUCCCUUGUUACGGAACCCAAGUAUUACCAUGUCAUCUUAAGUCUUGGUAUACUCACUGCAGCUCGGUGGUUGCAUUUGAUUCACUUGUUUUCCACAUUGCAGUGUGCCAAGACAAUGGUUAGCUGCAGAGCGCUCUCAAGGGGCAUGACUCUCUCAAGUUUGGAGCCGAGCAGCCUUUCUUCCAUUUAAUGAGGCCUGUCUUUUAAAAUGAGAGACGGGAGAGAGUGAGAGAAACUUAUCCUCUGCUCUGUUCUGUCUGAGCAGCUGCAUCUGUGGUUUUCUCCUCUGUGGUUUUGGGAGUCAUGUCCUUUAGUCAAUCUACCUCUGAUGCAGUGUUUAAUGGCAGCUCAUCUAAGACGGCCCAAGACAGACAGCAAAGGAGAGAGUCAGACACACACCACUGGCAAAAAACUAACAUGCUACAGAAAGAUCUACAGCACAUCAUUCAGACACAAAAUGACUCUUACUGAAAGCUGUUGGUUGGCUGACAGACAAUCAAUAAUCAAGAACUAUGGCAAAAUGAGCCUAAUGGAACUGCAGUAUUCAGGGGUGCAUGUAGACUAUUUUGAAUUACAACUGCUUUAGAGUUACAUGGCACCGGGCUCCUCCAUAGUAACCAAAAUACCACUCAAUAUUUAGCCUCAACCUCCACCUGCCAAAAAGUCUGAGAGUAGGACUUGAUACCCUGACUCAACUAGACAUGCAGGAGCUCAGCAUGGAGAAGUAAUCAUAAGAGAGUAGAAGAGAGAAGUCAUAAAAUUCAAGUGUGGUGUGGGAGCCAGGGCCUGUGGUGAUGCUGAGGUGCAGGCACUGAAAACAAAUUGAGAGAAAGUGAAAGACUCCACAUAGCAAUGCUGUGUAGGAUUAUAUUAAUAAGACAGGAUUGUAUGGAUCCAGCUUUCUCUUUCUCACAACUAUCCACUGUUCACAAAGACUGACAAAUAACUGCACACUGACACAGCUGCUUCUGCUAAAACUGUAGAUGAAUGUGCUUGAUUUGAAGUCCAUGAUCAAACUUUUGGGCCACUUAGACCUGUUUAAUAUUUCCCAGUGGCUCCUUCGGUUCUCUGUUGGGCUUGUGGAUCCUCUACUCUAUAAGCUACCUUGUUUUGGUUUCAUCAGGCAACAUAACUGCUCUCUCUUUAACUGCUUUCUGGAGGUAAAGGUGCAUACAGAGGGAACAGGUAUGAGGAUACUGGAAAAGAGGAAGGGACAAACUGAGUGGAAGACGAAUGGGGGGACUCAUCACUGGCAGUUAGUUCGUAGUUGUGUGACCUUCAUAUGUGAUCUCUCUCAGGGCAGGAGUACUUCUAUCAUUUUCUUAACUGUGGGUCUAUGUGUAGAUCCGUUGUAUGUGCAGAGAAGAGAUGAAUUUGUUUUAAAAAUUGGUUUAUUUGAUUAGACCCACUGCAAGCAAUGCCUGUCCUAAAGGGGGAUUUCACUUUGCUGAAAAUAGUUGUGUUGUUUUAAAACACAACUACAAAUCGAUAAUUACAACUGCAAAAAUCUUCUCCAGGAGUCACAGAUUAUGCUUCCUUUCGACAGCUACAAAUCGAAGUUGCUGCAUUCUUUGGUGCAAAAGGCGGUCGCUAAUCUGAGAUUGACGGGUUUUACAACCAAUCAGAAGUGAUAGCAAUUCAUCACAGCCAAUUAGAGGAGACAAGGCUCUCUACAAGGAGAGUGAGAACCAGCAGUAGAUGGGGUCUCUGCCGUACC